UAACUAUAAAGUCCAAUUUCAAAGGAAUGCAAAAACCUUAGUAGUAGUAGUUACUUCCAAUAUUUGAAAAAUUUGUUUUUGAUAUUGAUUUGUUUUUCUUAAAACAAAUAGUGGGAGUAUCAUACGCUACUAAACUAUAAUGAAUACAAUUAGUAGUUAUAUAUAUCUCCAAUAUUUUGAAAAAUGUUUUGAUAUUGAUUUGUUUUCUGAAAACAAAUAGUGGGGAUAUCAUAUGCUACUAAUUUCAUUAACUUUGGACUAAUAGUUAUAAUAGGACAAUUUAUUUGAAUGUGAUUAAAUAAAUAAAAUUGAUGAGACCUUAAAAUCCCUCAACCAACAUACAAUAUUAAGUUGAAAGCGUAAGAGUGUUUUGAACACUUUUUCGUGGCCUUCCACCGUGGUAGGCUCCAAUCGUUUAUGACUUGUACACCGCCUUCACCCUAUCAUGGGGAGUGCAAAGUGCAUGCUUAUACUCAGGAGGAGUUUAUUUAAAACAUUUGAUGAGGUUAAGGUAGGCAACGAGUGUAGCCAACAUCGUAUCAUCGUGAGGUCAUACUUGAACCCCUAUCUAAACCGGCAUGGUGGGAAAGAACUUAACUAAGAGAAAUGAUGCCAACAUCGUAUCAUCG
rnacentral:lncRNA from 1 species